rnacentral:rRNA from 1 species
ACACGCAUGACACACUGCAUAUCAAUAAGCGGAGGAAAAGAAACUAACUAGGAUUCCCUCAGUAACGGCGAGUGAAGCGGGAAGAGCUCAAAUUUGAAAUCUUCAAGGUUCUACCUUGACGAAUUGUAGUUUAAAGAAGUGUUUUCUGUUGGAGUUUUGGUAAAAGUUCUUUGGAAUAGGACAUCAUAGAGGGUGAGAAUCCCGUAUUUGACCAUUAUUUUCCAGCUGUGUGAUACACUUUCAAAGAGUCGGAUUGUUUGGGAAUGCAGUCCAAAAUGGGUGGUAAAUUUCAUCUAAAGCUAAAUAUUGGCGAGAGACCGAUAGCGAACAAGUACCGUGAGGGAAAGAUGAAAAGAACUUUGAAAAGAGAGUUAAACAGUACGUGAAAUUGUCAAAAGGGAAGCGUUUGACACCAGUGUUGUUUUCUCGAAAAUCAAUUAAAAAAGGCCGGAUUUUGUGUUGUAUUGACCUUAAAUGCUUUCUUCACUCUUUUCUUGUCUUUUUUAAUGCACUUUUCGUUUAACAAGUCAACAUCAGUUUCUUUUGUUGUAAAAGGGUCAUUGGAAGGUGGCUUUCUUUUCGGAGAAAGUGUUUAUAGCCUUUGAUCUCUGCAACCGGAGAGAUUGAGGUCUGCAGCGUAGACUCUUCGGGGUUAGAUACAUUUGUGCUAAGCUAUAGCUUUUUAUAGACAACUUGUUGACUAUAUUUAGUCUUGUGGCUUACUCGCUUAUGCUAUUUUACCUACGCUUAGGAUGUUGAACUACUGAGACAUAGA